AUCGAACGCUGGCGGCAGGCUUAACACAUGCAAGUCGAGCGAGCGGCGGACGGGUGAGUAAUGUCUGGGAAACUGCCUGAUGGACGGGGAUAACUACUGGAAACGGUAGCUAAUACCGCAUACCACCAGUUGUGCUCAGGUUGGUUUAGCUAGUAGGUGGGGUAAUGGCUCACCUAGGCGACGAUCCCUAGCUGGUCUGAGAGGAUGACCAGCCACACGGGAACUGAGACACGGUCCAGACUCCUACGGGAGGCAGCAGUGGGGAAUAUUGGACAAUGGGCGCAAGCCUGAUGCAGCCAUGCCGCGUGUGUGAAGAAGGCCUUCGGGUUGUAAAGCUCUUUCAGCGAGGAGGCGUUACUCGCAGAAGAAGCACCGGCUAACUCCGUGCCAGCAGCCGCGGUAAUAC
rnacentral:rRNA from 1 species